AUCUGGGGGCCUGAAUGUCACAACUCUUGGUGACAUUCUCUGCAGCUGAGCUCUACUCCAGGGCUAGCCUGUAGCUGCAUUUGUCUGCUGUAGAUUUCCCUGCAUUUCUAAGCGCAUAGUCAGAAGGAGGCUAGACACAUGGGGACAGAAAACUGACCCCUAUGGAAUCAUUCCUGCCACAGGGCUGGUGCAGGUAAAUGUGACUUCUUAUAAGAUGUCCCCAAAAGGAUCAGUAACCUUCAACUGUGGUUUGGUAAGCCAUGCGGCUCAAAUCAAGAGGUUAUGCUUUGACGGUUCCCUCUGGGCCUAUAUGUGAUGAUCUACACAGAGGGAGUCCUUUUUACUGCACACAAUAUGCUAAUGCCUUGGUGGGGAAGUACAGUGACUCAGAUCUUCUCUCUCAAACCCAAGUGGUCUCACUAGACAUCCGGCCUAAGAGGAGUCUGGGAAAAGGAGGCUUUGGAGGAAGCUCUGUGCUCCACCUGCUAAAACUACCCUACUCCACAGUGGGUGGCUAUUACUGGGUUCACUGCCACACAGCAUCCUCUCAGUCACGGCCAUCACAGGAGGGUUUGGGUCCUGGGCUCCUCUGGGCAAUGGUUCCUUCCCACUUUGCUUAUUGCUUCAACUUCUGCAACUGAAAGCCUUCCCUUUUUAGCCCUUUAACUGAAACCCUCUGUAAGAACAGACUUGCCUAACUCCAUGACAAAUGCUCUCUUUUUUACAAGAGUGGCUUUUACAAGGUCAUCCUUUCUCAAUAUUGCGAUUCCAACCUGUGGUGGCCCAGCAGAGGAGGCAGGGGAUUUGGGAUCUGAAUGUCUUCAACUCAAACCUUGACUCCAAACUUCCUGGGACCCCGUGGAGGCCGCUUUAUUCUGUGCUCAUGGGACUGGUGUGGGGACGGAGGGAGGGAGGUGCUUUGAAGACACAGGUCUUACUUGUUCUCUUCAUCUGUGAGUCCCCUAGCUCUGAGCUUGGCACACUCCAGAAGUUUCAGAAACCCUCGUUUCUAUGGGAACAGUGAGUCAACUUUAAAUGCUUGUGACCAUCCUAUGGACUGAGAAACGGGUCUGUGUGAUGAGCCCAGGACACAUUUACCAAGAUGCAGCGUUUCUCGGCCAGCCUUCUGAGACAAAUGAAUGAACUUCUGUCCGAGGGCUCACAUCUAUAAUCCCAGCCAUCAGGAAAGCCGACGCAGGAAAACUGCCAUGAAAUCGAGAAUUCGGCAGAUACUCUGAUGCAGUUAAGUAACUGAGCAAGCUCCAGGAAGAUGAACCUGGAAACAAGACCACGAGCUGGGAAAAGGGAAAAGGAGACAUCCACAUGCUCCACAUGCUUCACUCUGGUCUUUUCUGAAGGGCUGAGGCAGGGAUCUAGAGGCCUUCCUCGGACGGUCUUCUUGCUGUGUGUUCACGUGGUGAAAGAUGCAAGGGCAGAGGACAAAUGACGUGUCCUGUGCUUCAGGAAGCCCCCUGUGUAACAGCCUGGAUGCCUCUGAUAAGGGCUCAUAUGCUGAAGCCUGGUCACCGGUCUGCGGCAUUAGCAGGGGGUGGAGGAACUUUUAAGAUGAUGGGCCUAAUUGGAGGAAGUCAGAUCACUGGGGCAUGCCCUAAAAGGGGACUCCUGUGUCAUGACUGGUUUCCUUGGCAACUCGUCCCCCCACACCCCAUGACAUGACACACAGAUAUAAUGGAGAGGGCCUCGAGGGUUCGAAUUUCUCCAGCACGUUCUAUGUUGGGUAAGGACAGGCCAUGCUCUGGAUGGUGUCCUGGUGCCAGGGCUGGGACUCUCUCCCAAUAAAGACUUAUCUUUCAGUUCUAGUAA